GACCACUCCGUUGGACCGGAAGUCCCGCCACCCAGUUUUAUUUCUGUUUUACAUACCCUGUGUCAUAAUGUGUAUGUUUUAUAGUUGGGUAGACUUAAGAUUUGUAACCUGUUUUUCUCCGUCUAGCUCGUAAAUACAAAAAGAUAAGUCCUGGGGGCAGCAAUGACCACAGUACACAUCAGCCACUUUACAUACAGUAAAAACCAAAGAAAAAGUUACCUGCACUCUCUCUUG